UACGUAGGGGGCAAGCGUUGUCCGGAUUUACUGGGCGUAAAGGGCGCGUAGGCGGCCUCUUAAGUCGAACGUGAAAUCCCCGGGCUCAACCCGGGAACUGCGUCCGAUACUGGAAGGCUUGAAUCCGGGAGAGGGAUGUGGAAUUCCAGGUGUAGCGGUGAAAUGCGUAGAUAUCUGGAGGAACACCGGUGGCGAAGGCGACAUCCUGGACCGGUAUUGACGCUGAGGCGCGAAAGCCAGGGGAGCAAACGGG
rnacentral:rRNA from 1 species